AAAAAGACAAACCAUGGGUUUCCGUGUCUAAUUUUGAUUGUCCGUCUUAUAUGAAUUUUUUUUAUAAUUCGUAUUUUCAUUGUUAUUAGAUGAUAAAACAUGAUCAAUAUUUUAUGCAUGACUUGUUUUUUUAAUUUUUUUUAUAAUUUUUUCAAAUAAGACGAACGGUUAAACAUUAGACACAAAAACCAAGGUUUGUCUUUUUU
rnacentral:pre_miRNA from 1 species